GAUGAACGCUGGCGGCGCGCCUAACACAUGCAAGUCGAACGGUUAAGGCGCCUUCGGGCGCAUAUAAAGUGGCGAACGGCUGAGUAACACGUGGGCAACCUGCCCCUCGCACCGGGACAGCCUCGGGAAACCGUGGAUGAUACCGGAUACUCCGCCUCCCCCGCAUGGGGAGGGCGGGAAAGCCCAGACGGCGAGGGAUGGGCCCGCGGCCUGUUAGCUAGUUGGCAGGGUGAUAGCCUACCAAGGCGACGAUCGGUAGCCGACCUGAGAGGGUGAUCGGCCACAUUGGAACUGAGAUACGGUCCAA
rnacentral:rRNA from 1 species